ACCAUGUCUAAGGAUAGCAGCAGGCGCGAAAAUUACCCAAUAUCAAUACGAUGAGGUAGUGACGAGAAAUAACGAGUCCGUUCUCUCUGAGGUCGGACAUUGGAAUGGGUACAAUCUAGACAAUUUAACGAGUAUCUACGAGAGGGCAAGUCUGGUGCCAGCAGCCGCGGUAAUUCCAGCUCUCGUAAUACAUAGAAUUAUUGUUGCGGUUAAAAAGUUCGUAGUUGAUCAGCGAACCGUUCGGGGUGCAUCCUAACGGGUGUCACUCGUCGGACGGUAUUUUGCGCGUUUGUGUGCGGUCGCCCUCGUGGUGGCUCGUAUGCUGCGUGCAGGAUUACUUUGAACGGCUUAAGUGCUCAAGGCGGGUCUUAGGACCGAAUACCGGUGCAUGGAAUAAUGGAACAAGGUUGCGGCCGAGUUUUAUUGGUUUUGUCGGCUGAAACAAUGGUUAACAGGAACAGCCGGGGGCAUUCGUAUCGCUGCGCGAGAGGUGAAAUUCGGGGACCGUAGCGAGACGCACUAAAGCGAAGGCAUUUGCCAAGAGUGUUUUCAUUAAUCAAGAACGAAAGUGAGAGGUUCGAAGGCGAUUAGAUACCGCCCUAGUUCUCACCGUAAAUGAUGCCAACUGCCAAUCCGCUGGUGGAUUUAAUUCACGAGCGGGCGGGUUUCCGGAAACGAAAGUCUUUCGGUUCCGGGGGAAGUAUGGUUGCAAAGCUGAAACUUAAAGGAAUUGACGGAAGGGCACCACCAGGAGUGGAGCUUGCGGCUUAAUUUGACUCAACACGGGAAACCUCACCCGGCCAGCACAUCGUAAGGAUUGACAGACCGAUAGCUCUUUCAUGAUUCGUUGGAUGGUGGUGCAUGGCCGUUCUUAGUUCGUGCUAAUUGAAGUGUCUGCUUUAUUGCGAUAACGAGCGAGACGCCAACUGUUAACUAGUGCGUUGAUUGGUUCGCUUGUCAACGAUCGACUUCUUAACGGGAUUUGUGGUUACUAGCCUCAAGAAAUGGCGCAAUAACAGGUCUGUGAUGCCCUUAGAUGUUCGGGGCCGCACGCGUGCUACAAUGGUGGUAUCAGCGUGCUUGUCCUACUCCGAAAGGAGAUGGCAAACAGUUGAGAUAUUAUUAUGGCUGGAAUUGAGUGUUGAAAUUUUCACUCAUGAACGAGGAAUUCCAAGUAAAUGCGAGUCAUCAACUCGCAUUGAUUACGUCCCUGCCCUUUGUACACACCGCCCGUCGCUCCCCGGGACUGAGUUGUUUCGAGAAAGCCACGGACCGGUGUCGCUCGUGUUUCGGCACGUACGACGC
rnacentral:rRNA from 1 species